rnacentral:rRNA from 1 species
GACAGAGGGUGCAAACGUUUGUUCGGAAUUACUGGGCGUAAAGCGCGCGUAGGCGGCUUUGCAAGUCGGGUGUGAAAUCCCCAGGCUUAACCUGGGAACUGCAUUCGAGACUGCAUUGCUAGAGUAUGGGAGAGGGAAGUGGAAUUUCCGGUGUAGCGGUGAAAUGCGUAGAUAUCAGGAGGAACACCUGCGGUGUAGACGGCUUACUGGACCAUAACUGACGCUGAGGCACGAAAGCGUGGGUAGCAAACAGG